GGAUGAUCAGUUUUAAUAUUUAAACUCAUCUAUGAAUCGAAAUAUAGAAUGUAUUUUUCGAUCCGUUUUUGGUUGAUUCAUGUAGAAAGUGCAGAAACUUUGAGUUUGUACCAGAAUGCAAGACCACCUCUACAUAUUACUGUACCUAUUAAGAAAGCCAAAACGCCUAUAUAGAUUUUGGAUGCGGAUAAUCUAAAAACUAUCUUCCAACUUCUCUCCACCAUACGGGAUCCAGCGGACCAGGCACCUAAUGUGAUCAUUUGUAAUGCCAACACCGCCCCCACUGAGAGACUCAUUUAGAAUGGUUGGCACUUGGUACUAGCUUGCCUGCCCUUGGUAUAUAACAAGAAAUUUCUUAGUGACGGUGGUGACCUUUGGUUGGGUAACUGCGAAACCAAAGUUGAUAUGUCCAUCGGAAGACUCCUGCUCUGCUUUGAAGUUGAAUAGAACCCUGCUCCACCAGCACCAAUUGAAUCCCUGGAUACCAAGGUCAAGAAAUUGGCAUGGUACACCUCAUAUGAGCUCAUAGAAGGAAAGAGAUAAGCUAGGUUUUUGGAUAUUCUUCGGUUAUACUUGAACAUUAGGUUCUUUUCAACCGGUUUAUAGUAAAAAAAACUUUUUUUGCACACUCCACUCUUUCUAAGGAUACUGCAAAAAUGUCGUGCUGUAUGGAUAAUCGCAUAUGCUGCAUCA